GAAUCUCCCGCAACGGACGAAAGUCUGACGGAGCAACGCCGCGCGAGUGAAGAAGGUUUUCGGAUCGUAAAACUCUGUUGUCGGAGAAGAACAAGUAGGAGAGUAACUGUUCCUACCUUGACGGCACCCGACAAGAAAGCCACGGCUUACUACGUGCCAGAAGCCGCGGUAAUACGUAGGUGGAAAGCGUUGUCCGGAUUUAUUGGGCGUAAAGGGAGCGCAGGUGGUUUGUUAAGUCGGAUGUGAAAGCCCACGGGUCAACCGUGGAAGGUCGUUGGAAACUGGGGAACUUGAAUGCAGAAGAGGAGAGUGGAAUUCCAUGUGUAGCGGUGAAAUGCGUAGAUAUAUGGAGGAACACCAGUGGCGAAGGCGACUCUCUGGUCUGUUAUUGACACUGAGGCUCGAAAGCGUGGGGAGCAAACA
rnacentral:rRNA from 1 species